rnacentral:lncRNA from 1 species
GACCUGCCAGAUGGAGAAGACAGGAAAUGACUACCUUUCACGGUGGCUCUUUCAUGUGGUUCCUUAAACAGCCAUCUGUGCUACCCAUUGCAAGGAACCGAAGAUUUCAAGUCACCUCUGGAAUCUUCUGUGUGACAGUUCUCCCGUAACGGCUCCUAAGUCAAAGAUCAACGGCCACCAGACAUUUUAACAUAAAACCAACUUUUAAUAAGUGAUUUCUGCAAAGGUGGGUAAUUUAGGUGACAUCAGAGAAAGGGAUACACACACACACACACAAACAUUUUAGGUCAAUUCUGUCUUCUAAAAUGUGAUGCAUAACCUGUUAUAAAAGGAAGAGUGUUGGCCAGACUAACAUGCUAUCUAUGAUGAGCCUGCCUUCUCCACUAUCUGUCUACCUAGGACAAAAACAUCUGUCUAGGACAAAUGUGUUUAGGACUUUGCAGAAAGCCCUCGACACCUCUCCUGCCUCAUUCUUGCCUCCUUGCAUCAUAACUCACAGUGCACGUGGGAAAGGUCUAAUUUCUUAGUUUCCCUUGGCUCACUUGUUGCAUGCGGAGAGCCACCAACUGGAGGCGGCAGCCCCCCGGGCUGCUGGAAUGGCCACAGUGGGUCUGCCUUUGAAGUCCUACCCUCCAGUUAUAUCUCUCAUUGCACCAGGCGGGCUGUGAGCAAGCCCGUUGCAUGCAGCUGUCACCAUUUAAGCCAGCGGGCGUUUGAAGAUGUGCCGCCCCCCACCCCUUGUGAGGGAAGCCAGAAUAGAACAAAGUGUGGUGUUCCCAUGAAAUCGUUUGAAUGCUUGAUAAGAGUGUGAGUCUGCACCUUUUCUCCCUGACGGGGGUAGGUGGGGGGAGGGGGGCAGAGAGGAGACUACAUCCUCUCUGCAAACGUGGAACACAGGUAGCUGGAAGUGCCCCAUGUGUCGACUAUGGGUCCCGAGGACAAAACAGUUCGCAUCUGGUCUCAUCCCUCCAAAGAAGAAGACAGUCUUUCAGAAGAAAGUGGCUGGCCGGAAGGGCGCUGCAUUUGCCCAGACCUCCCAGACAUCUCGCCAAAAAAACAAAACAAAACAAAACAAAAAAAAAAACAACGACAACAAAAAACGCUUCCUUCUGGGUUGGUUUCUCUGUCGCUGCAAAUACCACACACGGAGAGCUGGCGCUCGGCUUCUGGAGAGCAACCCUGUGUAACAAAACUACUUACGGGAUCCAGGCGGGGGCAAGGCUUGGGCGAUGAGCUUGACGGUCUGACUCUUGCUUUCACUGACCAUCUGUCCCCCUCGGUGAGCCGUCCUUUCUGCCGACUUCACAGAGGAGCCAAGCGACCGACAGCAAAUUGCUCAUUUUCCAAACAAAAAUGCAGACAGUAAGAGAGCCUGUGUAAGCGGGGGUUACAAAUUGCUGUCAGGCCUGGGUGGGAAGCUGGGAGUCAGGAGCGAAGCCUCAGGUUCUCUGCCGCUGGAAGGAAGGGAGGCGAUCUGUAAUUGAUGCUGGAAGGACAGCGGAGGAAUUCCUGGUAUGAGAAUUGCCAGCCCCUCUCUGCAUCUGCCGACACCAUGUGGCUGGCCCCUUAGUGGCCUGGGAGAUUACAGAAGGGGCUGGAAAGCUUGCUGUCUUUGUGAAGGAUAAACAUCUUCCUUCUGCCACCAAAGUGGUAGCAAUUGUGGCUCCGGGAUGGGAGGUUUCAAAACAAAAGUAGGCCAGUGCUGUUGGCCUUGCAUGGCCUCCAAGAAGAUACCGUCGGCUCUCAUCAGACACCAAUUUUCUAGUUUGUGGAUUACCCAGACUUUCAUUCUUCCCUUCUCCUUUGGCAGAAUCAAUCAAACAGAAUUAGAACCGGACAAUUUUUCUAUUUGUAAACACUUCAUAGAGAAGGUUUGGUUGCGGUAAUGAUUCAGGCCACUUACCAAAAUUGAGUUUUCAGAGUGUGGGUGCCUGUGAGUGGCUUUGCCCUUUUGAAGGGAAGUCUGAGGGGGAUGGAAAGCCUUGACCAACCAGGUCCCAGGUCUCCCCACUCCUUUCAGCUUAAGUCACGGUGAGGCCAAGAGGAGGAUUAGGCCUGUUCCUAUUUUAGCAUUUUUGGUCCCCAGGGGGAUCGUGGGUCCUCUCUCAAAGCUCCGGGCAGCAUGAUGGAUUGGUGGGAUGCUCUUGGUGAAAUAACCUUUAGAGUUAAGAGGUAGGUUGAGGAUUAGGACCCCCCAGGGUAUAUGACCGUCUGAACGUGUUGACUCCAUUUUUUAUACAAGGGAUUGACGAGGCUGCCAGGCUGUUUCUCGGAUGCCCCCGCAGACUAUGUGUCAUCCUGGAGCCCCAUACCCUAUGGACAUGGUGAAGUGAAUUCAGAAGGGGACUGUGGGCUUCAGUGGGCUCCGUGCUCUAAUCUCUCCCUCCCACGCUUCAGCUCCAUGGGCCACGGCAGCACUGGGCCAGGAGAGUUUAGAGGGAAAUAAACCUGCAUUUGAAUUCUAGACUUGCCA